rnacentral:rRNA from 1 species
AUUGAACGCUGGCGGCAUGCUUUACACAUGCAAGUCGGACGGCAGCACAGAGAAGCUUGCUUCUUGGGUGGCGAGUGGCGAACGGGUGAGUAAUAUAUCGGAACGUACCGAGUAAUGGGGGAUAACUAAUCGAAAGAUUAGCUAAUACCGCAUAUUCUCUGAGGAGGAAAGCAGGGGACCUUCGGGCCUUGCGUUAUUCGAGCGGCCGAUAUCUGAUUAGCUAGUUGGUGGGGUAAAGGCCUACCAAGGCGACGAUCAGUAGCGGGUCUGAGAGGAUGAUCCGCCACACUGGGACUGAGACACGGCCCAGACUCCUACGGGAGGCAGCAGUGGGGAAUUUUGGACAAUGGGCGCAAGCCUGAUCCAGCCAUGCCGCGUGUCUGAAGAAGGCCUUCGGGUUGUAAAGGACUUUUGUCAGGGAAGAAAAGGCUGUUGCUAAUACCGACAGCUGAUGACGGUACCUGAAGAAUAAGCACCGGCUAACUACGCG